rnacentral:rRNA from 1 species
AUUGAACGCUGGCGGCAUGCCUUACACAUGCAAGUCGAACGGCAGCACGGGUGCUUGCACCUGGUGGCGAGUGGCGAACGGGUGAGUAAUACAUCGGAACAUGUCCUGUAGUGGGGGAUAGCCCGGCGAAAGCCGGAUUAAUACCGCAUACGAUCUACGGAUGAAAGCGGGGGACCUUCGGGCCUCGCGCUAUAGGGUUGGCCGAUGGCUGAUUAGCUAGUUGGUGGGGUAAAGGCCUACCAAGGCGACGAUCAGUAGCUGGUCUGAGAGGACGACCAGCCACACUGGGACUGAGACACGGCCCAGACUCCUACGGGAGGCAGCCGUGGGGAAUUUUGGACAAUGGGCGAAAGCCUGAUCCAGCAAUGCCGCGUGUGUGAAGAAGGCCUUCGGGUUGUAAAGCACUUUUGUCCGGAAAGAAAUCCUUGGCCCUAAUACGGUCGGGGGAUGACGGUACCGGAAGAAUAAGCACCGGCUAACUACGUG